GGUCUACUCUAUGGGUCUACUGUAUGGGGUCUACUGUAUGGGGUCUACUCUAUGGGGUCUACUGUAUGAGGUCUACUGUAUGGGGUCUACUAUAAGGGGUCUACUGUAGGGGGUCUACUGUAUGAGGUCUACUGUAUGGGGUCUACUGUAUGGGGUCUUCUGUAUGGGGUCUACUGUAUGGGGUCUACUGUAUGGGGUCUACUGUAUGAGGUCUACUGUAUGGGGUCUACUGUAUGGGGUCUACUGUAUGAGGUCUACUGUAUGAGGUCUACUGUAUGGGGUCUACUGUAUGGGGUCUACUGUAUGAGGUCUACUGUAUGGGACCUUUGAGGAGAGAGACAGAGGCAGCACCUGCUGUGGAGCAGCAGUGAGUCUCUCCUGAGAACAUGAGAUGAAUGAUAAUAAUCUGCAUUAACUUUCUUGCUAAAUACAGAUGACAAACACGUAGAGCUUCUUGUACGACAGAUAGACUUCAGAACAUGUUUAUGAAACAGGCUAUUCAGCAAGGCAAAGCUAGCCAUGGUUCAUUGGACAACUACAAGACUUUGCCCAAAUUACAUGGCACAAGCCAGGCCGGUUGCCAGGCGGGCAGCUGGCAUCAGCUGCGUCAUUGUCUUUGAUCGCGGCGAGAGGAGAAGGCUCAUUCUUCUACGUCCUCUCAGCCUUCAGCUCACACGUCCGCGUCGACACCGCCAAGGAAAGAAAGUGGGGCACAAACAAGGGGGACAGUUUGGCUGGAAACGGCCGCGCCACGUCCAUCGGCUCAUGAGACGAGGGACUUCCUGAGGGGACGAUUCCGGCCACACUAUGACGUCAUGUGCACACCACCUUUUAUAAUUCCACCAUGUUUCAUGCUAACGCUAGACCCGAUCCAGGGGGGCCACGUGUCACUCAAAUGAGACAAUAACAUCACACCCGGACGUAUUAAAGUGUCAAUAUGUCACACAGACACACCUCUCGUGCUCAGUGUGACGCAUUCAUGAGGAGGUUCUUUCCAGGGAACUGAUAACAUCAAAUAAUAACAGUCCAGGAGACACAAGCCGACGGUUCAACCCGCGUGACUCAUUUUCGCUUUCAGCUUGUGCGUUUUAACUCCGGCUCGCUUUUGUCUGCGCAACGACAAGCAUAACAGGCCGCACCAAAAACCCAUUCGCCAAAAUGAAACGAGAAAAACGGGCUGAAGCAUGCGCCAGCGAUACGGAAAACAGAGACAUGUAAAGACGUGCGGGGCUGCGUUAGCUAACCAGCUGCAGCU
ensembl:lncRNA